GAUACAGGGGAGAAGUCUGACGGAGCACGCCGCGUGAGUGAUGAAGGCUUUCGGGUCGUAAAACUCUGUUGUUAGGGAAGAACAAGUGCUAGUUGAAUAAGCUGGCACCUUGACGGUACCUAACCAGAAAGCCACGGCUAACUACGUGCCAGCAGCCGCGGUAAUACGUAGGUGGCAAGCGUUAUCCGGAAUUAUUGGGCGUAAAGCGCGCGCAGGUGGUUUCUUAAGUCUGAUGUGAAAGCCCACGGCUCAACCGUGGAGGGUCAUUGGAAACUGGGAGACUUGAGUGCAGAAGAGGAAAGUGGAAUUCCAUGUGUAGCGGUGAAAUGCGUAGAGAUAUGGAGGAACACCAGUGGCGAAGGCGACUUUCUGGUCUGUAACUGACACUGAGGCGCGAAAGCGUGGGGAGCAAACAGGAUUAGAUACCCUGGUAGUCCACGCCGUAAACGAUGAGUGCUAAGUGUUAGAGGGUUUCCGCCCUUUAGUGCUGAAGUUAACGCAUUAAGCACUCCGCCUGGGGAGUACGGCCGCAAGGCUGAAACUCAAAGGAAUUGACGGA
rnacentral:rRNA from 1 species